rnacentral:rRNA from 1 species
GUGCCAGCAGCCGCGGUAAUACGUAGGUGGCAAGCGUUGUCCGGAAUUAUUGGGCGUAAAGCGCGCGCAGGUGGUUUCUUAAGUCUGAUGUGAAAGCCCACGGCUUAACCGUGGGGGGUCAUUGGAAACUGGGAGACUUGAGUGCAGAAGAGGAAAGUGGAAUUCCUAGUGUAGCGGUGAAAUGCGUAGAGAUUUGGAAGAAAACCAGUGGCGAAGGCGACUUUCUGGUCUGCAACUGACGCUGAGGCGCGAAAGCAUGGGGAGCAAACAGGAUUAGAUACCCUGGUAGUCCAUGCCGUAAACGAUGAGUGCUAAGUGUUAGGGGUUUCACGCCCCUUAGUGCUGCAGUUAACGCAUUAAGCACUCCGCCUGGGGAGUACGACCGCAAGGUUAAAACUCAAAUGAAUUGGCGG